UACGUAGGGUGCAAGCGUUGUCCGGAAUUAUUGGGCGUAAAGAGCUCGUAGGCGGUUUGUCGCGUCUGCUGUGAAAACUCGGGGCUUAACCCCGGGCCUGCAGUGGGUACGGGCAGACUAGAGUGCGGUAGGGGGAACUGGAAUUCCUGGUGUAGCGGUGAAAUGCGCAGAUAUCAGGAAGAAUAUCCGUGGCGAAGGCGGCUCUCUGGUACGGCACUGACGCUGAGACGCGAAAGCGUGGGGAGCGAACAGG
rnacentral:rRNA from 1 species